rnacentral:rRNA from 1 species
GGCUACACAUGCAAGUCGAGCGCGUAGCAAUACGAGCGGCAGACGGGUGAGUAACGCGUGGGAAUCUACCCUUUUCUACGGAAUAACGCAUGGAAACGUGUGCUAAUACCGUAUGAGCCCUUCGGGGGAAAGAUUUAUCGGGAAAGGAUGAGCCCGCGUUGGAUUAGCUAGUUGGUGGGGUAAAGGCCUACCAAGGCGACGAUCCAUAGCUGGUCUGAGAGGAUGAUCAGCCACAUUGGGACUGAGACACGGCCCAAACUCCUACGGGAGGCAGCAGUGGGGAAUAUUGGACAAUGGGCGCAAGCCUGAUCCAGCCAUGCCGCGUGAGUGAUGAAGGCCUUAGGGUUGUAAAGCUCUUUCACCGGAGAAGAUAAUGACGGUAUCCGGAGAAGAACCCCCGGCUAACUUCCUGCUAGCAGCCGCGGUAAUCCUAAGGGGGCUCGCGUUGUUCGGACCCACUGGGCGUA